AGGAUGAACGCUGGCGGCGUGCUUAACACAUGCAAGUCGAACGAUGACCCGGUGCUUGCACCGGUGAUUAGUGGCGAACGGGUGAGUAACACGUGAGUAACCUGCCCUUAACUCUGGGAUAAGCCUGGGAAACUGGGUCUAAUACCGGAUAUGACUCCUCAUCGCAUGGUGGGGGGUGGAAAGCUUUAUUGUGGUUUUGGAUGGACUCGCGGCCUAUCAGCUUGUUGGUGAGGUAAUGGCUCACCAGGCGACGCGGGUAGCCGGCCUGAGAGGGUGACCGGCCACGACGUGGGACUGGAGACACGGCCCUAGACCUCCGUACGGGAGGCAGCGAGGUGGGGAAUAUUGACGAACAAGUGGGACGAAACGCCUAGAUGGCAGCGACGCCGCGUGGAGGGAUCGG
rnacentral:rRNA from 1 species